GACGAACGCUGGCGGCGUGCUUAACACAUGCAAGUCGAACGGAAAGGCCCUGCUUUUGUGGGGUGCUCGAGUGGCGAACGGGUGAGUAACACGUGAGUAACCUGCCCUUGACUUUGGGAUAACUUCAGGAAACUGGGGCUAAUACCGGAUAGGAGCUCCUGCUGCAUGGUGGGGGUUGGAAAGUUUCGGCGGGUGGGGAUGGACUCGCGGCUUAUCAGCUUGUUGGUGGGGUAGUGGCUUACCAAGGCUUUGACGGGUAGCCGGCCUGAGAGGGUGACCGGCCACAUUGGGACGGAGAUACGGCCCAGACUCCUACGGGAGGCAGCAGUGGGGAAUAUUGCACAAUGGGCGGAAGCCUGAUGCAGCAACGCCGCGUGCGGGAUGACGGCCUUCGGGUUGUAAACCGCUUUCGCCUGUGACGAAGCGUGAGUGACGGUAAUGGGUAAAGAAGCACCGGCUAACUACGUG
rnacentral:rRNA from 1 species